rnacentral:rRNA from 1 species
UACGUAGGGGGCAAGCGUUGUCCGGAUUCAUUGGGCGUAAAGAGCGUGUAGGCGGCCAGGUAGGUCCGUUGUGAAAACUCGAGGCUCAACCUCGAGACGUCGGUUGAAACCGUAAGGCUAGAGUCCGGAAGAGGAGAGUGGAAUUCCCGGUGUAGCGGUGAAAUGCGCAGAUAUCGGGAAGAACACCCGUGGCGAAGGCGGCUCUCUGGGACGGUACUGACGCUGAGACGCGAAAGCGUGGGGAGCGAACAGG